UUAACUGAAACCAAAAGGUAUAUCACUGUUAAUGAUAAGAUUGAGAAAUUUUUCUCCAGUUAA
rnacentral:tRNA from 1 species